rnacentral:piRNA from 1 species
GGAACUUGACUGGAGGAUAGAGAUGG